AGACAAAUGGAAUGGUCUUGCACAUAGUACAAGACAGGUAGACUCUACCACUGUACUCCAAAUAGGAAGGAGGCAGCUGAGAGGAGUGCUGCAAAGAGAGAUAGAGAGACCGAUCGAGAGAUAGGGAACAGGAGGCUAGAUCUAUCCUUUGCAUUUCUAAUCCCUCAACUCUGUCUGCGUGCUGCCUGUGCAGUCAAACUGAUGCACGCUAUACAUAGGCUCGCCAAGCUCCAGAUUUUUAUUUUUGGAUGAUUUUUGAAAUAUGAAAUAGAUUUAUACUGUAAUGGUGACACUGCUGCGCACUCGUAAACUUCUCUGACUCCUUUCAGGUUUGGAUAUUGAAGACACAUUUUCAGUUCUCUGAAGUCACCUUAUACCACCACAGUACCUGUAAUAAUCUCUGAAGACAUUUAGUCAUGUAUUACUACACCACAGGAAAGCAGCAAGCUCAAUAAAUGUGAUCAACGGAGCCAUUAUUUUCAAACAAUGAACCUAUCAUGCUUUAAGGUUCACAUUUCACAACCUUAAAAGGUAUAGCAGACUGCUGAUUUUUCUUACAAGGCACGCAGGGAGACAGACAAACACUUUCCACUUGUUUUACAAAUAGUUUGUCAACACAGACGCAAGGUAGAACCGACAAUGGCUGACCGCUACCAAAACAACAUAUAUCACCAAAGUGACGACAGCUAUGGGACUUAUGGAGAAGGUGAUGGAGGUGGUCAUGAUGGAUAUGGUUACCAGGCGGAAUACCCUCCGCAGGAAGAGGAUGCUGCUAGUGAUGUCACUGAGGGUCAUGAUGAAGAAGAGCAGAUGUAUGAAGGAGAAUAUCAAGGUAUACCUCAUCCUGAUGAGGUGAAGGCUGCACAGAGAGCUGCAAGGGCGAAAUCUCGAGCUGGUGGUGCACUCUCAGAACUGCAAGAAUUAUCGGAACAGUAUGAGGAUAUCAUGGAAGAUUGUGGCCAUGGAAAGUUCCAGUGGACACUCUUCAUGGUGUUGGGGCUGGCUCUAAUGGCUGAUGGGGUUGAAUGUUUUGUGGUUGCCUUUGUUUUACCAUCUGCCGAAAAGGAUCUGUGCCUGUCCAAUGCAGAGAAAGGGAUGCUGGGUCUGAUUGUCUUCCUGAGUAUGAUGGUGGGAGCAUUCAUAUGGGGCGGUCUUGCAGACAAAGUUGGCCGCCGACGCUGUUUAGUCGUGGCAUUAGCUAUAGACUGUGUCUUUGUCUUCCUGUCCUCGUUGGCACAGAGCUAUGGCUUCUUUCUCUUCUUCAGGUUGCUGUCAGGCAUUGGUAUCGGUGGAACAGUGCCGAUAGUCUACUCGUACUUCUCCGAGUUCCUCCAGAUGGACAAGCGAGGAGAGCAUCUGUCCUGGUUAUGUAUGUUCUGGAUGAUUGGUGGGAUUUAUGCCUCUUUCACGGCCUGGGGAAUCAUUCCUAGAUAUGGUAGGAUUCAAAUAUAUCCAUUAUAUUAUACCAAAAUGUAUGUUGAGAUACAUAAUCUUGAAAUAAUAGUGUGUUUGUAUUUUUCUGUAGGUUGGGGUUUCAGCAUGGGCACAGAGUUCCAGUUCCACAGUUGGAGGUUAUUUGUCCUGAUUGCAGCUCUUCCUGCAAUUGCUGCUCUGGUUGGAUUAACAUUCAUGCCUGAAAGUCCUCGCUUUUUGCUUGAGAAUGCCAAACAUGAUGAAGCAUGGAUGAUUCUGAAGCAGGUCCACGACACCAAUUGGAGAGCCAAAGGACAGCCAGAAAAAGUGUUCACUGUGACCCACAUUAAGGCUCCGAAAACAGCUGAGGAUGAGUUAAUUGAGAUUCAAAGUGCUACAGGAACAGCUGUACAACGCUGGCUGGUCCGCUCACUCACACUCUGUAAACUGGUGUUAAAGAAUGUAGCAUCUCUAUUUUCUGCUGAGCUGAGGUUUGCAACGCUCUUCAUGGCCAUUAUUUGGUUCUGUAUGGCUUUCAGCUAUUACGGCCUAUCUGUGUGGUUCCCAGACAUGAUCAAGCACCUCCAAUAUGAAGAGUAUGAGUCAAGAGUAAAAGUAUUCCAUAGAGAGAAAGUGGAGAACUUCCAUUUCAACUUUUCUUUAGAAAACCAAGUCCAUAAAGAAGGGGAGUACAUCCAUGACAAGUUCAUCAAAAUAGAACUGAAGUCUGUGAAGUUUGAGGAUUCAUUAUUUGAAGACUGUCUCUUUGAGGACAUCAAGUCCACUGACACAGUGUUUGAGAACUGCACCAUACGAAACACUGUCUUCAUUCAUACAGAUCUGAAGGAGAAGUUCAUUGACUGUAAGAUGGAAAACAUCACCUUUGAACACGACAAACGUGGUUGUCACUUGGACACUGGUGAAGAGAAUGAUGUCCUCAUAUAUCUGGUCAGCUUUCUUGGCAGCCUGGCGGUGUUGCCUGGCAACAUCAUCUCCGCCCUCUUCAUGGAGACGAUUGGCAGAGUCAAAAUUAUAGGGGGUUCCAUGCUGGUCUCAGCAGGAUGCACCUUUUUCCUGUUUUUGAGUUUCAGCCAAUCUGCCAUCAUCGCUCUGCAGUGUCUCUUUUGUGGCGUCAGUGUGGCUGCAUGGAACGGUAUCGAGGUGGUGACGGUAGAGCUGUACCCUGCUUCUAAAAGGGCCACUGCGUUUGGCGUCCUGAAUGCUUUCUGUAAACUGGCGGCUGUUCUUGGCAGCUCUAUCUUCGCCAGUUUUGUGGGCAUCACCAAAGCCAUCCCCAUCCUGCUGUCAUUCGCUGCACUGGUCUGUGGUGGUAUGGUUGCCCUCAGAUUGCCUGACACGCGGGAGAAAAUUCUCCAGUAAAGAGAGUGUUUAAGACAUACUGAAUUUGCUUGAUGUUGAAGUCUUUGCAGCACUGACUGACUUUCACUGCACUUUUCUUUCCAAAGUGAGAACGGAACAACUAACACUUUUAAAAUAUAAAAUGCCAUGUUUUGAUGUUUAUGUUUCAUGUUGACAAUGUGUGUUUUGAGAGCGUGAUCAGCCUAUUUUGAGAAAAGAUAAGGAUCAGGCAUGAGAUGAUCCUAAGAUAAUGUGAGCAAAGAAUCUUCCUCCACUAAGUGAACUCACAUGCACAUUAUGAUGACAAAAAAUACAUGGAGCUAAUUGAUUAUCAUUUCACAAGCUUUGUGUUGAAUAUUCAUAUUACUGUAACAGGAAAUGUCUUCUCAAAUCUAAACCGAUACAUGGAUUUGUCUUAUUGUGAACAAACUACAGGUUUUAAAUAUGCUGCAAUAACAACCCUAAAAUUAUGAUCAGCUUGGGAUCAGCAACAUUCAGUUUGUCCAAAUUCCAUUAACUGUGUCCUUGUUAAAUGUUUAGCAGUGGGAGUUCUAUUACCUUGAAUAUUGGGUACUUUUAAGGUUGAAUAAAUUGGCUGAUAAUUGAAUUAAUACAUUUUAAAAGUCAAUUUACUGUAUUUUCUGGACUAUAAGACUUUUUUCAUAGUUUGCCUGAGCCUAUGGCUUAUCUUCAGGUGUGACUUACCCUAUUUUUUUUUUUAAACUGUAAGGCGCACCUGACUAUAAGAAAAAUGUAUUUGUUGAUUGCAAUGGCUUAUAAGUCGCACGUGUCCACAUUGUAUUGUGUGAUAUUUACACCAAAGUCACUAGCCAGAGUUAGAAUUCUAAAGUCCAAAGGACCCCAGUAGAGAUCGAGUGAAAAUAUAUUAUUUAGUACCGUAUUUUCCAAACUGUAUGUUGCAUCGGGAUAUAAGGUGCACCUUCAAUGAAUGGCCUAUUUUAAAACUGUUUUCAUUUAUAGGGUGCACCACAUUUUAAAGGGAACCAUGGAUAGAACAUACAGUAUGUAGUUCUUGAAAGAGAAAUCUUAGUACAAGUAAUGCUGUAACACUUUACAAUAAGGGUCCCUUAAUUAACAUUAGUUAAUGCAUUUUUAGACAAUAACUAAUGUUUAAGUAACAUUACAAUAAUUAAUAUAGUUGCUUAUCUAACAUUUAUUAAUAUAUUAAUUAACAUGAUUAAUGCAUUAGCAAAUGAAUUAUUUAAUGCAUAACCAGACAGUAACUAAUGGUUUGGUAAAAUUAAAAAUAUAUAUAGGCCUAUAUAGGGUUAGGGUUUAGGGUUAGGGUUUGUUAACUUAGCAUUUAUAAUUUCUUAGUUAAGUAUCACUUAACCUUAAUUAACCAUUACUGAAUGUUUUUUGGACCCUUAUUGUAAAGUGUAACACACGUAUCCCUUAACUAAGAAAUUAUAAAUGCUUAAGUUUCCUCCUCUUAACCUUUAUUAACCAUUACUAAAUGCUUUUUGGACCCUUAUCGUAAAGUGUAGCACAUGUGUCCCUUAACUAAGAAAUUCUAAAUCCAUAAGUUACACCCCCCCCCCCCCCCUUAACCUUUAUUAACCAUUACUGAAUAUUUUUAGGACCCUUAUUGUAAAGUGUAGCACAUGUGUCCCUUAACUAAGAAAUUAUAAAUGCUUAAGUUAACAAACCCUAACCCUAAACCCUAACCCUAUAUAGGGUUAUAUAUAGUUUUAAUUUUACCAAACUAUUAGUUACUCUCUGGUUAUGCAUUAACGAAUGCAUUAACUAAUGCAUUAAGUAAUGCAUUAACUAAUGCGUUACCUCAUUUUAAUUAAUAUAUUAAUAAAUAUUAGAUAAGCAAUUAUACUAAUUAUUGUAAUGUUACUUAAACAUUAGUUAUUUUCUUAAAAUGCAUUAACUAAUGCAUUAACUCAUGUUAAUGAAUAUAUUAAUAAAUGUUAGAUAAGGGAUUAAAUGAAUUAUUAUUAUUAUGAGUUACUGUCUAAAAAUGCACUAAAUGCACUAACUAAUGUUAAUUAAGGGACCCUUAUUGUAAACUGUUACCAGUUAUACUAAUUAGAUAUUAAAACACCUCUUAAUGUUUUCGUUUCAAUAAAUUUUUUAAAAUUAUUUUAACUUCUAGGUUGCCAUUGUUGUUGACGUCGCAGGGCGGUGACGUCACAUGGCCACGAUGACGGAAUUCCAUGCGUCACACUUUAAAAAAAAAAAAAAAAAAAAAAAAAGCAUGUCACUCUUUAAUUAUGUAAGGUAAUGAUUUAAAUAUGCCACAAGGUGUCAAUGGUGAGUUUUAAAUUAAUUAGAGAUCAAGCAAAUGAGUGCGUUUUGGCUCUUGACUGACACUGUAGUUUUCCUUCAAUCCACAGUUGGGUGUAAGCAAUGCUUAAUUUGUAAAUCAUAAGGUGCCGGAACGCAAAGUACAUAUGACAGCGCAGUGAUGACGAGACAGACACAGGUCAGGGAAUAUAAGCAGAAAUGUUACUGAAACAACAUGCAAAUGCCCACUUGCCAUGCUGUGGGACUUAUAAGCCUCAAUUUCAGAUAACAUUAAUAAUAAUAACAAUAAUAAUAAUGCAUUGUACUUCUAGAACGCUUUUCAAGCCACACAAAGACACUUCACAAGAGAGAUGGAAUCAUAGUACCAGCAAAACAGUCAUAAAAAAAUUAAAAGCAUAAUAUCCAUGGUAUGAAUGUUAUGACAACAAUUUAGAAUUAUUUAGGCUAUACUCUGCACAGCACGGGCAAUUGUCCAUAUAACCACAGGUGGGACUUACAGUAAGCAAUUAGUUUCUCAACAGGUCUAACUUGUAAAACAAAACAAAAAAAUUGGCACGGCGGCCUAUUUAGCUUACCAUAUUUAGUUGUCCAAAACAUUCCUUGUUGUCAUUGUUGCUUUUCUGACUCGUUUGUCUGUCUUUUAGGCAUGAUGAAAUACCAUUUGAUUCUAAUGUUUCUUCUAACUUAUGUCAGAAGCUGAUUUGUGGGUGCGGCUUUUGAGCGUAUUAACAAAUCUCUGACUCUUUCAAAUGACGUAACUUUUUAUAAACAACAUUGUUACCAGCAUCUGCAAGGGGCCGCUGUCCCGUUUCAGUGUGACCGGCAUUGCCAAUUUGGCGUAGAAGAAGAAGUGGGUGAGCGUAUGGGGGAGAGAAAGGAAGCACAGUGUUGACCUUUACUAUGGUUCGGAGUUGAAAGCACCGCUAACCAAAAGUGCAGAUUGGAAACAACAUCCAAUUAUUGUGAUAUGUUCUGUAAAUAAAUCUAUGCAUAUUAUUAUUAUAUCCUUGUGACCCGACCCCGGAGCAAGCGGAAAAUGGUGGAUGGAUGGAUGGCUGGACAUUUUUUAAAAACGGUUUUUAUAUUGUAGCAUCACCUGCCAUCAUCGGCACGGUAAUUUAUGCGUCAACACGACGCUCCAAUUGGUGGACUGCAUAGCCGCCCGCCAGUGACUUGUUUGUUUUGCAUUAGGGUGGCGAAAAGAAAAAUAAAAUGAGGGGAUAAAAAGCGGCAAGGUUCCUGUGUUAUUUUUGCUGCCAAGCUUUCACUUAGCAAGCAUUACAAAGCGACUGUUUUCUGUUCAGCCCAAAUGCUUGAUAAAAAGUUUGGGCAAACUUGACUUUAGAGUGGUGGUUUCCUGUGUUAUGUAAUGUGUGCUCCGUUCGGCAAUGCACAGUGAUUCGUGGCAUUAUUUAUUGUAGAGGGCGCUAGCAUAGCAAGUGACGAUGCUGAGUUCAUCACCUUACAUAAUCCUACACGUCACCUGGCAUAGUAUUAUCAUUAAUAUUUACAGUCAAAAGGUGCCGGAUCGGACUAAAUAAGUUCCAGAACACGUGGAGACCAAAAUCAAGAGAUACCGGAACAUGUUCCGGCAUGAUCCGGCACAAAUUAACCCCUGGGUGUAAGGCAGAGAUAAAGGAGAGUGGACACAGGCGUUCAGAUUUGUAUCUCGGACCACGCUGUUUAUUGGCAUAGGCUCCGGCAACUCCUUCACAACAAACAUGAGUAUCAUAUAGUGAAAAUACAACAAAAAUAAUUUUCAUUUCUCAAAAAAUUAUGUUCACAAAAAGAAAGUGCUUCAAUCUGUAUUAAUGAGGCCCUAUUCUCACACAGUUAAACAAAGAUGCAAAGAGAACUGGCAUUCUCAAAUACACAAUCAAAAUAGAUGUGCAAAAUACACAUAAAACUUAAUCAGACUUUGGUCAAACUUUAAACAUUUUAGCAACUGGUUUAGCUCAACAAAUACACUGGAUUGCAAUAUUUCGUCAGAAUAUAAAAACGAUGAUGCUGGGAGCCAUUAUCAGGAGUCUUGUUUGUUGUGAAGACAACACUCAAAUGAACGUAAAUCACAAUGGACCCGCACUAAACAGGAAACUACAGCGUCAGAGAGUAACAAAAUGCACCUACUGGCUUGAUCUCUUAUUAAUUUAAAACUCGCCAUUGGCACCUUGUGGUGUAUUUAAAUCACUACCUUAGAUAAUUAAAGAGUGACACUGUGAAGUACGGCAGCAUGCCCAUGUGACAUCACCGCCCUGCAACGUCAACAAUAAUGGCGAGCUACUAGUUAAUUUUUUUCAUUUAUAAUUUUUACAAAUUUUAUCAAAACGAAAACAUUAAGAAGGGUUUUAUUAUCAAAUUAUUAUACUUGUACUAACAUUUAUCUUUUAAGAGCUACAUGACUUUCUAUCCGUGGUACCUUUUAUGGCGCAGUAGUAGUAGUGGUUGGGGUUGUGUUAUGCUACACUAAAUGAAGGUGCGCUAAAGGGAGGUCAUGCCAUGAUUAACUAACAUUGGUCCAUAAACAACCCCUAGCAAACAGUCAUGCCUCAGAGACUGCAAGCUGUCAUAAAAGCCAGAGGUGGUGCUAUUAAAUACUAGAGAUGUGUUUUGAUUGUUAUUUCUUUGUUUGUUUCUCAUGAUUCCAUAUUUUUUUCCCUCAGAAUGGAGUUAUUCCAUAUAUAUUUCCCUGCACUUGCUCUUUUAAAGUAACAUUUACUGACCACCACAAUGUUUUUUAUUCGUUUCUUUUAGUGUUUCUGAAUGCUAAAGAGUUGCACCUUUGAACUAAUUCAUUAUUUUUUCAAGUUUUUUAUAUGAGUUUGUUCUACAUGAUAAAAUGUCUGAGUGAGUGCUCGUCCGAGACUGAUGAUUCCAUACUUUUUGCUACGGGUUGUAUAAGGCGCAUCGGACUAUAAGGCCCACUGUCAGCUUUUGAGAAAAUUGAAGGCUUUUAGGUGCACCUUACAGUGCGGGAAAUACAGUACUUAAAAGAUGCAAUUCCAGCUCAAAAAUACAACUCCUGAAAAUUUUUUAAAAAGCCUAGACCUGGUAUGACUGGAACUCAAGAAUUUGGGCUCAAGACUCACAUACUUGAUGUAGUAAUUUUUUCCGAGUAUAUUGAUGACAGAGAUAUUGAAUAUACAGGUACAGAAUUCUGGCUGAUAGUUCUCUUACCGUGACUAAGUACACGAUUGCGGAAGUAUUUCAGAGGCGUGGUUACAGAUAAGUUGGUGUCUCCUGCUCUUCCCUUGGGGACGUCAGGGACAUUGCAUUUCCCUUUUUCCUGCACUUCUGCAUCUAGAGCCAUCACGACCUGUUGACCUGUUAGUUUCCUGAGCUUAACGAUUAAUAGAUGUAGCUGUGCAGCCCAACUCUGUGUGAAGAAUACCAGAAGCAUUUUUACAGAAGUGUCCCCUAAGAGUUUUUCUGAGCUAACUUUGUAGUAAACAAAGUUGAACUAAGUUCACUGUCUCACGGCGUCAGCAUUAAGGCAUGUGACUCGCUGGUUACUUAUGCGAAUAUAUUCAUAAGCAAGUGUGAUCAAACAAAUAAUACUGACUAUUAGAUCAUUAAGUAAUUUAAAAUCAAAGUGUUUACAUAGUAAGUUUAUAGUUACGUGCAUGUAAAGUUAGUGGUUGGGGUUGAGUUAUGCUACACUAAACACGUUAGUUACUUUACAGAGUUAGUUUUAAUUAAUUCAAACAGCGGUAAGAAUCAAUUAAUCAUCCAAACUGGACUAUGAACCAGAUAUUUCAAAGCAAAGGAAAAAAAUGAAUGGCUUCUAGUUCAAAAAUUACGGUUUACGUGGAUGCUGCAGAGCAAAAAAAAAAGAGUUGCAGUAUCUGUUUGGGGUAUUUUGGGUUUUCCUUGUUGUGGAAAAAGAGGGGGUUCCACUGCAUCAAAAAAAAAAAAAAAAAAAAAAUCCCCAAAAUACGUUAAAUUAAAUGUUUUUUGCUCGGCAGCAUCGUUAUGUAAUUUUUUCCCCCCACACUAACGUGUGGCCCCUACCACCAGACUCCCUACUAGUGGAGUUGUUCAGAAGUGAUGUUGAAUAUGAAUUUUAAUGGAUUUGGUAGUCAUUUGGAGUUAGAUCAAGAGUUUCGUAAGCAAGUUGUUAUAUUUGUGUUGCUUCGCCUGAAAUUACUUGACGCGAUUAAUACUCCAGCGUGACACUACAGUAUAUCAUUUUUUUCCCUUUUCAUAGUGUAUGUUUUGUCUGGUACGACUUACAGUCUGGAAAAUACAGUAUAUUAAUGGAUUGAUCGUAUUUAUAGCUCACCUAACGUCAACUAUUAGGAAUCAUGCCCUGCUUUAACAUUCAUGGUGUAUCAUUUUUGUACUGACACUAUUAGAGAGGUGUUUAUUUGUUACGUAUUUAUCCAUUUUAUGUCAUCUUAUUAACCUGUUGAUAUAUGACAGGUAGACCGUACUUUGGCAAGUAAAUCACACUGCGCUAAUGGAGACAACAAUCGCAAAUACAGUAUAUAAACAAUGUGGGACAUUCAACAACUGUGUGCAUGCCCUGUAAAAUAUAAUAAUUUGACUUCACUUGAAAAAAAAUUGCAAACUUGCUGCCUUAGUAAUUUAUUUUACUUACAUUAAUGACAUGCAAUUUACUUAAUUAUUUCAAAUUUUAAGAACACAAAUUAACCUUAAUAAUUGGAUUACAGUAAAUUGGCUUAUUUUGAGUUUGCAGUACUCAAAUUAACUUGAAUUAAUUAGAUUACAGGCAGUAACUUAUUUAUCCUUAUAGUUUUCAGUACAGAAUGAUACCGAAGCUUUACUUUGGUGUUGCUCAUUCAUCAAGUGGAUUUUUUUUUAAUCUGAAACAAUUCUACAAUAUAAACAUCCAUGCUAAUUUAAUUAAUAAAAAAUUUACAAACAGGAAUGACCCUGCCCUCAAUGGAUCAGCUCAGUGAAAUUAACUUUAUUUUAAAAUGCUCAACAAUGCAUUUUAGAACAAGUGACAUUUGCUCUUGACACACUUCUGAAUGUUUUGUUAAUGCUUGGUGUGAAAUGAACAAUCAGUAGUACCAGUAUGACCAAAGCUCUCUUAGACACCUUUACCUACUUCACAUCGAUUUGGUAAGUACGGUAAAUGUUGUGGUGAGCGACGUGGAGAAGAAUGACAGAGAUUGACUUUUGUUAUUAACACUUGCUCUCCUUGUGCCCCAUACACUGCACUACCCCAAGAAACAGUGCACUUUACUGAACAGAACACUCAUGAUAUAACGACAGCAACCUUACUCUUUCGUGAACAACGUGGAACAGUCACUACAAUAGUGUUUUCAAGUCAGUACAACAAAAACUUGUUUCAGUGGCGCUGAAAAAAAUGUGCUCCAAAUGAGCUCCACGUCACUACAAGCACAUUUAGAUACGGCGGGCAAGGUUCUCGAUGACCUAUCCUACUCGAUGACCUGGUUGUUCAGAGUGUGAUUGUCUAAUGCACAGUCUCAUGGGUUCUGAACUUGUUGGCCCAUCCGUAGAUCAUUGAGUGGACAGGAAAUUCACGACAUCCGAACCGUUCUUUGAAUUGCCAUUGAGCUGCAUGGAUAGACUUCAGCAUAGACUUCAUAAUGGCAGGCCCGAUUAAUAGGGGGUCUGCAUUGUUGGCGUGGCCGUCAAAGCUGACCGAGUGGAAUCAAAGACGAAGAGCUUUUUUCGUUAAAAAUUCUUGUGAAUAAAUGCUUAAACCCCUAAAUUCUUUAUGAAUAUAUGUAAAACAGUCUUGAUUCUUGGUUCAAAGCAAAAAAAAUGUGCAGGUAGCAUUUAUUUUACGUAAAUAUGUGGAAGUACGAUGCUAGUCUGUCAGUACAUGUGGCAGCCGCCGUAUGUAAACAGCUUUUCCGGUGAAAAUUCUUGUGAAUAAAUGCUUAAAUCCCUGAAUUCUCUAUAGAUAUGGACGUAAAACAGUCUCGUGCACUACCAUUUAUUUUACGAAAAUGUGUCGAAGAAUUAUGCUAGUCUGUUAGACAAUGUGGCGGCAGCCUUACAACAAGGGGCUUUUUACGUUGAAAAUUCUUGUGAAAAAACAAAAAAUAUAAUACCAUAUUUUUUGGACUAUAAGUUGCACAUGAGUAUAAGUCGCACCAGCCAUAAAAUGCCCAACGAAGAGGAAAAAAACAUUUAAGUCGCACCGGAGUAUAAGUCGCGUUUGUGGGGGAAAUUUACUUAAAAUCCAAGAAAAACCAGGUAUGUCAUCUUGAAAGGCAAUUUAAUAUAAAAAUACAAUAGAGAACAACAUGCUGAAUAAGUGUACAGUAUGAUAAUGUUACAUGAUGCAUGAACAACGAAAUGCGAAUAUACUGUCUUCAACAGGACGUUACGGCUCGGUCCUGGCUAUACAGCAAGCUAAACUCCCAAAUGAUGAUGCUUGACGUCCGUAUGAUUUGCUGACUUUUUUUUGGCUGUCGUGAUGACGCCAUCAUUUGAAGAGUAAAACUAAAAAUAUAAAUAAUACAAAUCAAUUUCGUCCUCGAUACCAAACAGGUUCGCAUCAACAUAACUCAAUGAUAAUUAGCUGCUAUUACAGCAAUAACACAAACGGUUAGCAUGCAUUCGCUAGCAUUAGCACAUCGUUCAAACAACCACAUAACUGGCUCUAAGUGUCUGAUCGCGGGUGGAAAACACACAACAACUGUUUCUCUCUCUCUCUCUCUCGCCCACUCGCUCAGACGCUGUGUCCCUCUUUUUCUGGCGUCUGAGCGCGCUUCUUCGCGUAAACAAGUGCGAAUGCGCCCCCACUUGGGCGUGAAAGUGCCACAAACUAAAAGCAUGCAUUUAAAUCUAAAAAAAGUCAAUAAUACAAUUGAACACACAUUGCCAAAGGCAGAACGCGAACGUGGCCAUAGCUAUUCAGAGUUUUUCAAAUAACUAUAUCAUAAACAACAUGCUAAAAUGUUUACCAAACCAUCAGUGUCACCCUAAAACACCAAAAUAACAUGUGAAAUGAUAUCAUAAUGUGUUAAUCACUUCACACAUUAGUCGCUCCUGAGUAUAAGUUGCAACCCCAGACAAACUAUGAAAAAAAACUGCGACUUAUAGUCCGAAAAAUACGGUAAUUACCUUGAAUCCUCGAACAAAUCACUCCUGAGACAAUCCUUCCUGUUUGUUUGCAGUACAGCUUUCGGACUUUUUCAACAUAAAUCCGGCGUUGGAUCGCUGCAUGUGUGACUGCGAAUAACUGAAGCGGAUUGUGGGAUGGUCCCCUGCUUGAAUGCGUGGCGCCGUGAAGGUUGAUAAUGACCCAUAAAUAUGAUUAUGAAGUCUGUGACUUCAGCUGAAAAUAUGCCUCAACUAUAAAUGUAUUUUCCGCAGUAGUCCAUGACAUGUCAAAGGUUAAAUUUGGUAGACUCUUAGAACAUUAUUUCUUCUUGGUCGAUCCGAAAGAUAUAAAGAAUUGAUUCGUUAUUUCAAAAGUUUUUCAAGUUCAGGCUCAGUUUUUUUGUGUCACCCUGUAUUUUCAAAGAAUCUCACUAAUAGUGUCAGUCAAAAAUAGCACGCUUAGCUUUUCAAAAGUAAAACACAAAAUUGAACUCUAUUUAAGAUGUCCCUGAUACUAGUAUGUGCAGGUGUGUCUAAAGUAUCUUAAGUGCCCAGUGAUUUGUGUUUACAGGCAUGUGAUUAGUGCAUCCUAAGGAGUUCCUUCAGUUGAUGAACCAGUAAACACACAUGAACACUACAGAACACUACAUGUGUAUGUGAUGGAGCAAAGUGUUAUAUAUUUUUAUUUUCUCAGCAAUUUGGUGUUGACAUGUACUGUAUUUAUUGCGAGUGGUUUUGUGCCACAAUUGGUUGUGUAAGUGACUAACUGCAUAUUUGUCUGAUGUUAUCUCUUGUUUAUGUCUGUCAACAUGUGCACCUAUAAAAAUGUCCUCAUCUGGUCUGUGUCUACUCUAAAUCACAAUUACUCAGCACAUGACUCACAUCUCAUCUUCCAUGUACUCAGCUUUCUCCAAAGAGAAAUAAUAACUAAUUUGAAGAUCUCUUGUGGGGUUUCAAGAAUAAUUUGUCAUGUUACUUAUCGUCUUGCAUCAUCAGAUCUACUUAGCUUUUGGUGCACAUACUUUGCAUGAGCUAUUACCCCAAAAAAGAAGAAAAAACAACAAUGACAAAACAUACAGUAGUACCUCUACAUACGAAUUCAAUUCGUUCCAGGACAUGGUUUGUAAAUCGAAAUAGUUGUAUGUCGAGCGGGAUUUUACAUUAUAAUUCGAUUAAUUCAUUCCACAGCCCCAAAACCUAUGCCAAAUCAUUAAUAAAUCCUGCAGGUAUAAUUACAAAUAGCAAAACAGAUAAAAUACAAAUACAAAUGAUAAUAAUAAUAAUAUAAUACGAAUCAGGUUCAUAUGUGGUGGUUUUGUUUUGCAUGCUGUUACUGAAUGCACCGUGUGACUGAUGCGAGGGUGAGAGAAGGUGGGAAGUUUUACUUUCUCUUUUAUGUUUUGUUUUUGUUGGCGUCAGCUACGGCGGAAAGUAGCCCUGUUGUUUUGCACAAGUUCUGAAAAAAAAAGAUUAAAAAUCUAAUGAAGCUGGUGACUUCCUUGCAGAUGUUACAAUAAUAAUAAUAACUAGCCCUGCAAGCAGGACUGAACAGGCGAAAUCUCAUACAAAUUUUAUCUAGUUUUAGUAAGCAAUUUCUCAAAAUGUUUUGAUCUGUAAAAUUUAGUUUUAUUCCAAAAAUAAAUAAAAGGUUCAAAAAAUUGUGAAUGAAAAUAGAAGAGCACAUAUUGUAGUAUCUACAAAGACAACGCCAACUUUGUGAUGAUAAUUCACAACAACAAAGAGAAGCAGUACCGUGCAUUAUUUUCACUUAAGCCUACCUAAGAGCCAAGAACUGUAUGUACAAAAAAAAAAAAAAAAGUUGUCCGACCGCUGAACAUCCUCUAGACCAAGGUCCGGAUUUAGUGAACCCUGCUCUAGACUUACUGACCAAAAAAGCCGUACUGGCUCUGCUUUAGACUGGCUAGUGUCAUAAGAGGACGCUCGCCAUUCUGUAGCUAAUGCUAAUGCAAACGUGAGUGUGACGCUAACGCCAGGAUUACAUUUAGUGUCUGGUGUUCACUCAGCACAGACCUUUAAAGGCUUAAGCAACAUUAAAUAUUCUCUGGCCAAGACAAGAAAACAAAUCUUACCAUGUUUCUGAACAAGCAAAAUGGAGCGCAGACACAGCCGAAACUCAUCGCAUUCGUCUCAUUAUGUUCUAGUCUCCUAAGCCCCCUUUUAACUCGUCACGUCAUUGUCAUGAUUAAUUUGUUCGUCGAUUAAACAUUUUUGUUUUCGCCAUUGUUGAUGAAAACAGCGCUGUUAGGACCCAUGUUGAUUUCUCUCACAAAAAAAAUUUAACAUACAUUCCCGAUUUGCGGGAAAACAAUGAAAUUGUGAUGCUGUCAUAAAUUGUCGUAUAUCAAGCAUGUUGUCAUAUGUCGAAACAAAUGACGAGUCCAAUUUUACGUCGGAUGUCGAAAGGAUCGUUUGUCAAGGUGCUACUGUACAAGGAAUAUAAUUGUCAGGAAAAAUCUUAAUUACGCUGCUAUGCAUAUUGAAUUCAGUGAACAAAAGGUAAUCAAACGAACAACAGUUAUUUCACGGAGGUUGCAGGUGUGCUGCAAGCUUACCUGGAUAACUAAAGACAGCAGGCAGGGCAAACCUUUAACUGCUUGCCAAAACAAACUUUACACUUACAGUCUCACCUACAGACAAUGAAAACAUUUGUGGACACAAGAUCGACAAAAACAUGUUUGGUACUUGGUAUAGCUUCUCUGCGGGCACCUCUGCAUGUCGAUAUUUUAAAAAAUACGACGUAACAGUGCAAUUCAUGAUUCUUUGUACCUGAAGGCAUACAAGACACUCAAAGCUACAGAUACAUUUGGUGUUCUAGACUUUUGAAAUCAAAUGCAAUUUUGAAAAUCAGUCAAAUUACCAAAUUGCAAGCCCCAUAAGAGAUUCGAUAAUGUUGCCAUACAAUACGCGAGUUAAUGAAGUGCAAAUUUUGUUUUGGUUCUCUAAUUUCCAAUGUGUGGAUUUUCAUAUUUUUACCAUUGUUCUUUCAGCUGUUUUUUCUGCCAAUUGAGAUGUCUAAACUGUUAAUUUAAGGUCAUUAUUCAAUCGUAUUUGUUGAAUAAUUGUGGGAAACAAAAGGGGGCAAUUCAGGAAACGAGAUGUUACUUUCUCUUGUUGAUGUCAUAGCAUCAUGAACCAAACUGCUUAUGACAACGAAAUAGUAAUAUAUUCAUGGCUUAUCAUAUUUUUAAUUUCCCUGUCAUUAUUUGUGUCUGAAACAAGUGGAAGCAAAGCCCAUUUGUUCCAAUGCUAGUGAUUGAAAUUAUUAUUGUCUUUCAUUUCAUUGGUGGUUCAUGGUUUGAUUUGAUUUCUGUUUAUUACAUUUGUGUAUUAGUGGCAAUGACAAGUCUGAUCAAUAAAGCAAAAUUGUUCAAGCUUUGCAGUCUUCAUUCAUGGAGUGAAAUACACCACGCACAGACACAUUUUUUGUAGAUAACUCAGCUGUGAGAUUGUAAUCUUUGUAUUGUCUUUUGUUAAUUUUCUUGCUCAGAGACCAAAAGGUAAUUUUUUUUUUUAAUUCCUGUUUGUGUACGUCUGAGUAGAUGAUGCCACAAACCUUCACAAAUUAUUGCGGCACGCAAGUAUUUUUUUUGACCAAUCUCGACCUUAUUCAAGCAAGAAACAGAAACAAUAUUUUCUUUUAUAGCAAUUAUUUAUUCCUCCUAAUGUAUACUGUAUAUUUUAUACUGCCAUGUUACUUCAGCAAUUUUGAUUUGGAAGACUUUCCCUCUCAAAAAAUAAAAUACAGUGGUACCUCUACUAACGAAUGUCUCUACAUACAAAUAUUGCUUCUUGUUACGAAAGAAAUUUCAGGAUACAAAAGGCAAAAAUACAGUAUGGCCUAUACUCACAGCUCCCAGAGUUUACUGAUUGUAACAUACUUAUAGCUGCUCUGCCAUUGGUUAUUGCCUCGUAUUCCUGGCAUCCAAUUGGCUAAGAGGCACCUCUACUGUAUGUGUGUAUCCCAGCGUCCUCUUCCUUCGCCCCUCAUGUUCCAACAGCUUUACAUGAGUGUAUUAACUUUUAGUCUUUACUCUAUUCUUGUUUAUUGUGGAAUUUUCUAAUUGUAACAUGUAUUUGUUACAUGUUUUGACGGAUUUCUUUGCAUUAAAAAAGAUUUAUGUCUGAAUUUUCGGGGUCUUGGAACGGAUUAGUGCAUUUACAUGGAAAACACGUUUCUACUUACAAAAUUUUCAAGUUACAAAACAACUUCCAAACCAAUGAAUUUGGUAAAAAGAGGUACCAUUGUAUUUAGAGAGAUUUAGUGGAUAACAAUCCUUUGAUUCCUCACAGGUCUUUCUGGUUGAUGAACCAGUCCAGGAUUUCCCGUUUGUUCUGCUGUAGCCAUUUGAUAUUGGCUCUUGUCCUCUCCAAAGCCUGUUUCACUGCCUGAGUUGCUGAACCAAAACCUAGGGCAUGGUGCUCACUCAGAAAAUCCUCCAGCUGCCAGAGACAAUAUUAGGCAAAGUUCAGACAAAUGCUGGACUGAAAUACAUACAGUGCUGCUCGAAAGUUUGUGAACCCCACAGCGAUGGUCAGAUUUUUUGUAAAAAAAACUAAAAUAACCUUAUUAAAUGUUAAGUUAUACCCAAAUCCACAAUACUGACAUUCCAAAUAAUGGACUGAAACAAAAGAAAUAGUUAUAUUGUCAUUCUUUAUUUAACAAAAGUGGUUGAUUUAAGAAAAACUCAGAUAUCAUGUGUGCAAAAGUAUGUGAACCCCUUCAGUUAAUAGGAUAUUGCGCCUCCUUUUGCAGAGAUUACCUCAACCAAACGGUUUCUGUAGUGACUAAUCAGCCUCUCACAUCUACUUUGGGGGAUUUUUGCCCAUUCUUCCUUGCAGAACACAGUCAGUUGAGAGAGGUUUGAUGGGCGUCUGGCAUGAACUGCUCGCUUCAGGUCCCGCCACAGCAUUUCAAUGGGAUUUAGGUCAGGACUUUGACUGGGCCAGUCCAGAACACGAAUCUUCUUCUUUUUCAGCCAUUCCUUGGUUGUAUUGCUGGAAUGCUUUGGAUCAUUAUCAUGUUGCAUGAUCCACCUUCUGCCAAGCUUUAACUUCAAAACAGAUGGCGUCAGGUUAUGUUCUAGGAUUUGACAAUAUUCCUCAGAAUUCAUGAUUCCCUGGACUAUGUGGAGUUGUCCAGGUCCUGAGGAUGAAAAGCAAGCCCAGAUCUUGACAUUCCCACCUCCAUGCUUCACUGUUGGGAGAAGGUUCUUUUGGUGGUAUGCAGUGUUGACUUUUCGCCAGACAUGGCGGUUUUGGUUGUGACCAAACAGUUCAAUUUUGCACCUACAUCAGUUGAUGAAAACUCUUUUUAAUUUAGUCUCGACAACACAACUGUUAAAAAAACAAAACAAAAAAACUACUGAAUUGAUUGAUUAGGAAAUCAGGUUGAAAUAAUAGAAAAUUCCAAAAUGUUGAGGGGGUUCACAAACUUUUGAGCAGCACUGUACCUAUUAACAUUGACAGACC